rnacentral:lncRNA from 1 species
UCCUGCCAUGUGGUGACAGAUUAAAAGCUGCUAUACACUUUGGAACUGGAAACUGAGCUCCCAAUAUAAAGGAGAUAAGCCAUCAUGCUUACAAUAUGUUGUGCAGAGCUCACUGGUGGGCAGUUUUUCUUAACAAUGCAUCAGGACUUUUGCUAUUUGUAAAGGAAGCUUAAAGGAAGCUGAGAGUGCUGAGGGCACAUCUGAAACCACUGGAGGUUGGCGACGUGGAGGUCAGGACGGAUGCGUGGCCAGCCUCAGGUUGCUAAAUGUUAGGGUGAUCUGCCUUCCUUCUGGGGCGGUGAUUCUCCACUUGUAGAUCCGGCCAUGAGGAUUUAGGUUCGGGUAGUUGGGAGAAGUAGAUGUUCCAGCAGAGCCCUGAAGAUCCCCACCACACUCUGAUGUGGGGGAAGAAAGCCAAGAAAACUUCCAAUCAAAUCAAAAUGUCUCCUUCCAUCAGGAAAGCUCUCAAAAUUCAGCCAACCAAAUGAUUAUGGCACAUUGUGCAUGGGGCAGAACAUCACAGAAGCACGAAUAAAUAUCCAGCACUUCGAUAAGCAU